UUUCCGGUUGAUCCUGCCGGAGGCCACUGCUAUCGGGGUUCGAUUAAGCCAUGCGAGUCGAGAGGGUUUAGACCCUCGGCGGACUGCUCAGUAACACGUGGAUAACCUGCCCUAAGGUGGAGGAUAACCCCGGGAAACUGGGGAUAAUACUCCAUAGAUUAGAGAUACUGGAAUGUUCUUUAGUCAAAAGUUCCGGCGCCUUAGGAUGGAUCUGCGGUCGAUUAGGUUGUUGUUGGGGUAACGGCCCAACAAGCCUGUAAUCGAUACGGGUUGUGGGAGCAAUAGCCCGGAGAUGGAAUCUGAGACAAGAUUCCAGGCCCUACGGGGCGCAGCAGGCGCGAAAACUUUACAAUGCAGGAAACUGUGAUAAGGGAACCCCGAGUGCCCGUAUACGCGGGCUGUCCAGGUGUUUAAAAGUCAUCUGAAGAAAGGGCCGGGCAAGACCGGUGCCAGCCGCCGCGGUAAUACCGGCGGCUCGAGUGGUGGCCACUAUUAUUGGGCUUAAAGCGUCCGUAGCUGGACUGAUAAGUCUCUUGGGAAAUCCGCCGGCUCAACCGGCGGGCGUCUAAGGGAUACUGUUGGUCUAGGGACCGGGAGAGGUGAGAGGUACUCCGGGGGUAGGAGUGAAAUCCUGUAAUCCCCGGGGGACCACCGAUGGCGAAGGCAUCUCACCAGAACGGCUCCGACAGUGAGGGACGAAAGCUGGGGGAGCAAACCGGAUUAGAUACCCGGGUAGUCCCAGCCGUAAACUAUGCGCGUUAGGUGUGCUGGUGACCACGUGUCACCGGGGUGCCGA
rnacentral:rRNA from 1 species